CAUGUGGCCUCUUUUGCUGCAUUCACACCGGAUGAGUUUUGGGCAUUUCACGCGGCGUGGUUACAUAGAAAGUCAGUGGAGCUCACGCGAAUCUGUGCCGGGCAGCGUGGGCACGCAAAAAUUCGCCUCCUUCGGCGGUUCGCUCGGGGUUGGGCGAAUUGAACUACAAGCCGCAUUCGCAUGGUGACAGCCAAUCAGCUUCGAGAACGGACUAAGUCACACACGGCGUCCUGUAGAGGAAAAGGGAGGAGGUGAUUGUUGCAGUCUGUGGGCAGCCACAGCUGUUUGACACGUUAUCAGUACCGACACCAAGCAAGAAAAGAGCAGGCUUGGAAAACUGAAGGAAGAAAGCUGGCAUACCCGAUGAACUUUAUCAGACAGAUGAGGGGGAACGGGAGGAAGGUCAAGGAGCACAUGAGGCACCUCAAAGACCGCCUGGGGGAAAAGGGCAACAGAAAAGAGGAAUUGAGGCGCAUCUUCUUAUGUAUAAACAUUCCCCCAGCGAGACCUCACUUCGCUGCUCAUGACUAGCAUGACUCCUUCCUUGGAAACAUUGCCACGAGAGUAGAAGGAAGAUGUCAAAUUUCAAAUCCCGAAAUUAAUGUAUGAACACAGCACAUUUACUCUAAAUUAUGUCCAGGUGGCAAUCUUUUCCAGGAAGGAUUCAGGCUUUUAUAUAUAUAUUUUUUUUCUUCAUUUCGUUCCACGUGUAUACAUUAAUACAUCCACUUUAUUUUACCAAUUUGUCUUUCAACUUUCAGACAAAAACGAUUACAUACAUAACCUUAUGUGCC